CUGAACCAGCCAAGUAGCGUGAAGGAUGACUGCCCUAUGGGUUGUAAACUUCUUUUAUAUGGGAAUAAAGUUUUCCACGUGUGGAAUUUUGUAUGUACCAUAUGAAUAAGGAUCGGCUAACUCCGUGCCAGCAGCCGCGGUAAUACGGAGGAUCCGAGCGUUAUCCGGAUUUAUUGGGUUUAAAGGGAGCGUAGGUGGACUGGUAAGUCAGUUGUGAAAGUUUGCGG
rnacentral:rRNA from 1 species